AUGUUGCGGACCUUUUCUGAUUGCAUGGCACAGAAGCAUCCGAUAUCUGUGAUCACAGAUGGGGACCUUGCAAUGCAGAGAGCAAUCAGGGUGGUCUGGCCAGACUCAAACCAUAGACUAUGUAUAUGGCACAUUCAGCAGAACAUUGUACGCCAUCUGCAUGAUGAUGACGUAAAGGAGGAAUUCAGAUCUUUCAUUUAUCAUACUUCUUUCAUUGAAGAGCAUGAGAUAAAAUGGAUACAAUUCUUACAACGGAAUAAAGUAACCAGUGAGGAGUCUUGGCUGCAUCAGAUGUAUCAGAUGAGAAAGUUGUGGUGUGCUCCAUAUCUUGAGGGGCGUUGUUUCCUAGGAUUGAGCAGCAAUCAGAGGAGUGAGAGCUUGAACUCUGUGCUACAUACGCAUCUUGAGGGUAAGAUGUCGUUGUUUGAAAUGCUAGAGCACUAUGAGCGUUGCCUUGCAUCGCGACGGAUUAACGAAGCUCUCCAAGACGUCGAAGCCUUGCAGUCCGUUCCAUUUACAGAGGAAAAUGCUUCGCCGCUUGAGAAACACGCCGCAACAGUUUUCACACCUAGUGUCUUUAAGAUGGUCUUAUGGAGCAUAGAUGCUGUCAGCAAAUGUCAGAUGAGAGAGAUACUAGAUGGAUCAGAAGAUUCCACUUAUGUUGUGUCCAAGCAGGAAAGAAUGGAUAAAAAGUUUGGAGUGCGCAUUGAAGAGCAAGGAGGUCUUUUGCACAGGGUGAGUUGUUCUUGCCGUAAGCUGGAAUGCGCAGGCACACCAUGUUCCCACAUUUUCUUACAUAUUGGGGAUUUUAAAACAAACAAUUAUGCCCAGUUGUUGCGUUCCCACUAG
rnacentral:rRNA from 1 species